UACGUAGGGUGCGAGCGUUAAUCGGAAUUACUGGGCGUAAAGCGUGCGCAGGCGGUUAUUUAAGUCAGGUGUGAAAGCCCUGGGCUUAACCUAGGAAUUGCGCUUGAGACUGGAUAGCUUGGAGUGCGGCAGAGGGAGGUGGAAUUCCACGUGUAGCAGUGAAAAUGCGUAGAGAUGUGGAGGAACACCGAUGGCGAAGGCAGCCUCCUGGGCCAGCACAUGACGCUCAUGCACGAAAGCGUGGGGAGCAAACACGG
rnacentral:rRNA from 1 species